CCGCUUAACGGUAGAAUUGCCAUUGAUACUGCGGGGCUUGAGUACAGUUGAGGCAGGCGGAAUGUGCAGUGUAGCGGUGAAAUGCUUAGAUAUUGCACAGAACUCCGAUUGCGAAGGCAGCUUGCUAAACUGACACUGACACUGAGGUACGAAAGCGUGGGGAGCGAACAGGAUUAGAUACCCUGGUAGUCCACGCCGUAAACGAUGCUCACUCGCUGUAUGCGGUACACAGUAUGCGGCCAAGCGAAAGUAUUAAGUGAGCCACCUGGGGAGUACGUUGGCAACAGUGAAACUCAAAGGAAUUGACGGGGGCCCGCACAAGCGGAGGAACAUGUGGUUUAAUUCGAUGAUACGCGAGGAACCUUACCUGGGCUUAAAUGGGGAACGACAGCUGCCGAAAGGUGGCCUUCUUCGGACGUUCUUCAAGGUGCUGCAUGGUUGUCGUCAGCUCGUGCCGUGAGGUGUCGGGUUAAGUCCCAUAACGAGCGCAACCCCUACCGUUAGUUACCAUCAGGUUAUGCUGGGGACUCUAGCGGGACUGCCACCGUAAGGUGAGAGGAAGGUGGGGAUGACGUCAAAUCAGCACGGCCCUUAUGUCCAGGGCUACACACGUGUUACAAUGGCCGGUACAGAGGGCAGCUACUUCGCGAGAAGGUGCCAAUCCCAAAAGCCGGUCUCAGUUCGGAUCGAAGUCUGCAACCCGACUUCGUGAAGCUGGAUUCGCUAGUAAUCGCGCAUCAGCCAUGGCGCGGUGAAUACGUU
rnacentral:rRNA from 1 species